AUACUGUGGAGGUGUGAGGGAGGGAAGGAGGAGGAAUGGGAGGGAGAGAAAGGGAGAGAAAGAGCGUUAAUCCGUGCACAUAAACUGCCUUUUAUCAUGGAUUUGACAACAUGCAAGUUUUAAAUCAAUCUGUUUCUCGUCAAUAAAUCCAUUACUCUUCAAUUCCAAAGCACAGAAACAAGUCAUAAUAUUGCCAUGGUUUCAUAAAUGCCAUAAAAGAAAGUAUAAGUAUCAUGGUAUACAAAAUCAUCUCAUGAUAUAUCCUGUUUAUAAUGGAUUAAGUAAACAUGCAUAAGUUUAAUCAAUCUACUUAUGCUCUUUAUUAUGUAGAUGAAUUAAAUGUGCAGUUACGUAAGCAAAAAAAAAAAGGCACGUAACAUCAAUGUCACGUGUUGAUGCCACUGUACUGAAGCAUCAUGAUACAUAGUGUUCAUCUAAGACAUAAUACUGCAUACUGUGUCCUCGUGUUUCUUGGACGAGGACUCACUUCAGCGCAAGCAAAGCAGGGAGCAAUGGUUGACUACGACGCUAAGAGGCUCACUACGUUUGCUACCGACAAUCAUCGUAUCUUCGUAUGUCUUCGAAAAGGAGCAUCAAUUGAACACGUAGGCAAUGGGGAAUAUUCAACUACAAACCCCAUAUUCUCAAGCGCUUUCGGUUUUCACAGCAUAUACUUUCAAAUCCCACAAAGGAGAUUACUCGGGUCCCCAUGACUGUUUUUCACAUUCAUGAUUCACCAGCAUUGUCAAACUAUCACUAGGCUCAUAAAACUACCCACUGAAAUACCCACAGCGACCUCUACGAAAGCCUUAUCAAAUGUGGGUGUUUGAGAGUAUGGGCCUUAUUAUAUCCUCGUGUGUCUUGAGUGAGGAACAUCUGUAACACAAGUAAGCAGCGAAAUUCUAGUUGACUAAGGCGCUGGGAGGCUGAGGUGGCUGAUAGCAAGGUCUUGGGGCAGCGUGUAGCCUUGAGGGAUGCCAGUGAAUUAGCGACGACCCCCACGGACCGACACUAAAACGACAACAUGAUGCGGACGCCACGACUACGCCAAGGACACGACCCAGACAGAAACAGGAAGCUUUGUACACACACACACACACACACACACACACACACACACACACAGGAAAGGUACCAAGUGAUCCUAAUUAGAAUGGUUACUCGCUCACACACACACACACACACACAGACACACACAUACACACACACACACACCAGUAGGCAUUUGAGCACCUAGAACUUGCUGGGACGGCAGAAAAGUAAUCAAUAAAUGUGACUUUCCCAUUUUCUAUGUCUCUACACUCUAUUUUCUGUUAGCGUGUCACUGCCGAGAAAACCAUUAGCGAAUCAACACCAUUCAGCCAAUCGCGGCGGGUGACAGCUGACUGACUAAGUGGUAUUAUGAGUGACAAACAGAAUCACACCACCUGCAGUGAAUGACUCUGACCACUCUUGCCUCUCUGACCACUAAGCCCCGUAUUCUUAACGCUUUCGGCUCACAACACCCAUUUUCCGAGGCCACAUAGGAGAUUAGUCGGGCUUUCACGGGUGUUUUUCACAUUCAGAAGUGCAGAAGCCUUGUUAAACUAUCACUAGGCUCAUGAAACUACCCAUGGAAACACCCACAACCUCUACGAAAACCUCAGGAAAUGUAAGCCCUGAAAUGUUUAAGUUGGGCCGUACUAUAACACGUCUGGGCGUCGGCUGAAUCAUCUACUACUCACUAUAACUAAGCAAAGCCGUGUAAGGUGAGGAGGGGCUGAAUCAAUGGCCUUCGCUCUCUACCGUCGAGUGUCCAAGUCAAGCAAAGCCGUAUAAGGUGAGGAGGGGCUAAAUCAAUGGCCAUCCCUCUCUACUCUCUACCCUCGAGUGUCCAAGUCUAUCGAGGUACCAAGAACACAAGCAGACUAUCACGCUAUGGCUGCGACGCCUUGGAUCAUGCGGAAAGUAACGUUGCUAUGACAAACACGAAUCAUGCAUCGAGGUCACGUGAUUGAGGCUCCGGGGAACAGCUGCGAAGUCUCUCCAAGCGCCGCGGUGAGCAGUGUUAAUAAUGGCGUGAGGAAAAGGAGGAGCUGAGAUGGUAUGCGUGAGGGGUUCCUAAUGGUGGUUUGUGUAUUAGGUGAAAAUUGAUGAACAGAUGUAAUGGACGAGGAGGAAACGGGAUUCAGGGCAGGUUUAGUUUAACUGUUAUUGAGGCUUAAAAAGAGCAAAAAGAAAAAUAGGUAAAUAAAAAAGGAGAAUUACCCUGAAAGAAAAUGAGAUGGAGGAAGGAGAAAGAGGAAACGACAGGCAUUGAAGGCAGGAAAGGUUUAGUUUGACUGUUAUUGAGGCUUAAAAAGAGCAAAAAGAAAAAUAGGUAAAUAAAAAAGGAGAAUGACCCUGAAAGAAAAUGAGAUGGAGGAAGGAGAAAGAGGAAACGACAGGCAUUGAAGGCAGGAAAGGUUUAGUUUGACUGUUAUUGAGGCUUAAAAAGAGCAACAAAGAAAAGUAGGUGAAUAAAAAAGGAGAUUAACCCUGAAAGAAAAUGAGAAGGAGGAAGGAGAAAGAGGAAACGACAGGCAUUGAAGGCAGGAAAGGUUUAGUUUAACUGUUAUGAAUGCGUAAAAGAAGAGCAAAAAGAAAAAUAGAUAAAAAAAGAUAAACGUUGGGAGAAAAGAAGAGGAAGAUUGGGCAGGCAGUGAAGGCAGGGAAUGUUAAGUUUAACUGUUAUAACGCUUAAAAUGAGAGUAAAAAUAUAAAUAGAUAAAGAAGAAAGGAGAUGGACGCUGGAAGGAAAAGAAGAGGAGGAAGGAGGAGGAGGAAACGACAGAUAUUUAAGACGGGAAGGCAGGAUGAAGUGUAAUGGACGCUAAAAAGAGAGAGGAAAAGGAGGAGGAGGAAAUGGCAUAAAGUGGAAACGGAAAGGCAAGAUUAAUGAUUUUUAGCGCUCUGAUAUAGGGGAAAAAAAGAGAACAUAAGAAAGAAAACGAGGUCGAUUACUAAAAGGAAAGGAGUAUUAAGGGAUAACUGCAUAAUUUAUAGUGAAGGAACAAAAAGAAAUAGAAAAAAAACAGGUCGAUUACUAAAAGGAAAGGAGUAGAAAGGCAAGAUUAAUGAUUUUUAGCGCUCUAAUAUAGGGGAAAAAAGAGAACAUGAGGAAGAAAACGAGGUCGAUUACUAAAAGGAAAGGAGGAGUAUUAAGGGAUAACUGCAUAAUUUAUAGUGAAGGAACAACAAGAAAUAGAAAAAAACAGGUCGAUUACUAAAAGGAAAGGAGAAUAAAGGGAUAACUGCAUAAUUUAUAGUGAAGGAACAACAAGAAAUAGAAAAAAACGAGGUCGAUUACUAAAAGGAAAGGAGUAUAAAGGGAUAACUGCAUAAUUUAUAGUGAAGGAUCAACAAGAAAAAAAGGCAAAGUUAAAAAAAAAACAUUAAGAUGAACACUAGUAGAGGAGGAGGAGGAGGGGG